rnacentral:ncRNA from 1 species
CUAAUGACUGGGAAAGAGGAAAGUAGCUUUGACGGAAGCUUAACAGAGAGUCGGGUUAGCUGGAAGCCGACAGCAUAAGUCAAAAUGAAGUUCCCUCUGGAGUUGUUAACUGAACGCUGAGGCAAGUAGGUGAUACCGGUUUCUUCCACCGUUACCAGGAAGGGGAUAUGAAUACGUAUCCUUCGAAGGCGGAUCGUGAAAACGAUCAAUCCGGGUGGUACCGCGAGUAAUCCUCGUCCCGAUU